GUGGACGUAGCUCAGUUGGUAGAGCCCCGGACUGUGACUCUGGUUGUCGUGGGUUCGAUCCCCAUCGUCCACCCCA
rnacentral:tRNA from 1 species